AAAUAUUCUUUUCAAUUGACAAAGAAUUAUUGUUUGGACUACUCUAGCUUUCUGCAUGGAAGUCUUUUACCCAGAUGUGGUCUGAAUUUUCCUCUUUCUUUAUAAAAAAUUUGUAUUUUUGUUUUUUAGCCAGAUGAUAUCAAAGACUUGUAAAGUUUUGAAUCAAAUUGAAGGAAGUUUGCAGUGUUUCAAGGGGGAAGCAAUGAAUCUACUAAAAACUGAUAAUCAGCUCCAAUUAGGGCUUAUGUCAUUUGGUUUUUGCUAAUGAUUUGUGUAAUUUAACAUAGGCGGCUGAACUACUAAAAACUUCUUGCAAUGGAUUAGAACAAUGGCCGUUUUUUGUCCAGUAUUGACAAUUGGCUUAUGAGAAUUUCCAAGAUGCAAUUUUUUUGGCUGUCAUUGGAAACGACCCAAAGAAUGUG
rnacentral:lncRNA from 1 species